GUCCACGCUGUAAACGAUGAUCACUAGGUGUAGCGGGUACUCAUUCCUGCUGUGCCGUAGCUAACGCGUUAAGUGAUCCGCCUGGGGAUUACGGUCGCAAGACUAAAAACUCAAAGGAAUUGACGGGGGCCCGCACAAGCGGUGGAGUAUGUGGUUUAAUUCGACGCAACGCGAAGAACCUUACCUGGGCUUGACAUCCCCGGACAUUCCUGGAAACAGGGUUUUCACCUUCGGGUGACCGGGAGACAGGUGCUGCAUGGCUGUCGU
rnacentral:rRNA from 1 species